rnacentral:rRNA from 1 species
UGGGGGGAGCCGUCUAAGGUGAGGCUCGUGAUUGGGACUAAGUCGUAACAAGGUAGCCGUACCGGAAGGUGCGGCUGGAUCACCUCCUUUCUACGGAG